rnacentral:rRNA from 1 species
UACAGAGGUCUCAAGCGUUUGUUCGGAUUCAUUGGGCGUAAAGGGUGCGUAGGCGGCGCGGUAAGUCGGGUGUGAAAUCUCGGAGCUUAACUCCGAAACUGCAUUCGAUACUGCCAUGACUUGAGUCCGGUAGGGGAGUGCGGAAUUCCUGGUGUAGCGGUGAAAUGCGCAGAUAUCAGGAGGAACACCGGUGGCGAAGGCGGCA